UGCGAUUCUCCUCUUCAGACCACCUUCUUCCUUUCUUUUACUUUCAAAAAGUUUUCAACGUUCUUUGUUUUCAGAUCUGGCCUUGCCCAGAGAGAAGAAGAGAGAUACAAGCACAAAAGAGAGAGAGAAAAAGGGGAAAAAGACAGAAACGACCAGACAUGGAUCUGAAACCCCUCCAUUCUCUUCAAUGUCGAGAGGGAAAUAAAAGAAUAUCAGAAAGAGUUUAUUGGGAGCAAAGAGCCAAAUAGAGAAAGAAAAGAAGAGCAAAGAAAGAGGGAAGAAGAAGAUCGAAAAGAAGAUAGAUGGGUUCUCUUAAAGACCCAACAGUAUUGAAAGAUUCAAUCUCUUGCCCACAAGCCUUGCGCAGAGAGGAGAGAAAUACAAGCAUAACAGAGGGAGAGAACGGGGAAAAAGACAGAAACGAGCAGACAUGGAUCUGAAACUCUCCAUUCUCUUCAAUGUGGAGAGGGAAAUAAAAGAAUAUCAGAAA